rnacentral:rRNA from 1 species
CCUACGGGCGGCUGCAGUGGGGAAUAUUGGACAAUGGGGGGAACCCUGAUCCAGCCAUGCCGCGUGUGUGAAGAAGGCCCUCGGGUUGUAAAGCACUUUCAGUGAGGAAGAACGCCUGGUGGUUAAUACCCAUCAGGAAAGACAUCACUCACAGAAGAAGCACCGGCUAACUCCGUGCCAGCAGCCGCGGUAAUACGGAGGGUGCGAGCGUUAAUCGGAAUUACUGGGCGUAAAGCGCGCGUAGGUGGCUUGAUAAGCCGGUUGUGAAAGCCCCGGGCUCAACUUGGGAACGGCAUCCGGAACUGUCAAGCUAGAGUGCAGGAGAGGAAGGUAGAAUUCCCGGUGUAGCGGUGAAAUGCGUAGAGAUCGGGAGGAAUACCAGUGGCGAAGGCGGCCUUCUGGACUGACACUGACACUGAGGUGCGAAAGCGUGGGUAGCAAACAGGAUUAGAUACCCUGGUAGUC